rnacentral:rRNA from 1 species
UACAGAGGUCUCAAGCGUUGUUUCGGAUUCAUUGGGCGUAAAGGGUGCGUAGGCGGCGCGGUAAGUCGGGUGUGAAAUCUCGGAGCUUAACUCCGAAACUGCAUUCGAUACUGCCGUGCUUGAGGACUGGAGAGGAGACUGGAAUUUACGGUGUAGCGGUGAAAUGCGUAGAUAUCGUAAGGAAGACCAGUGGCGAAGGCGGGGUCUACUGGACAGUUCCUGACGUGGAGGCACGAAAGGCCCAGGGGGAGCAAAACGGGG